AGCCAGAGCGCCUGACAUCUUGGCAAAUUUAAAAGUGCUGGCUAAUGCUAAACAUAAAUACAGUAAGUUAUUCACUAAUGAUGUUCGACUUUUCACCAGUCGGAGAUCACUAAAAAUAACAUUAAACUGUUAACCUGCACCCCGAUGCGGGCGUCCUCAAUGCCCCUCAACUCGCAGGUGUCAGUGUUUACGAAUAGAUUAAAUGAAAUGGAACAAAUUUAAUCUUGACAAACUAUUUAUCAUUAUAAAGAUCUAAACCUCAAGCAUCGAUGACAGAUCGCUGUUUUUGAAUGGAAAGCUUAUAAAGA